CCUAGGACAUCAGUUGAUGUUGACAUGCAGAAAAUAGUCAGUGGGGGAUGAAACUGCAUCCAGGGAUUUAACAUCUGAACUUGAGCCAAGAAAAUGCCAAAGAGUAAAGGUUACCCAAUGGACACGGGUUUGAGCAAACUCUGGAGAUAGUGGAGGACAGGGAAGCCUGGCGUGCUGCAGUCCACAAGGUCACAGCGUUGGACAUGACUUAACUGACAACAGGAAAAGGCUACCCAAAUUGGCAAUUCUUUAUAUUCAUCCACCUAGCUAUCCAUCUACAUAUCUCUCUAUACGUGCAUCCACCCACCCGUUCAUCCACCUACACAUCCAUCCAUCCAUCCAUCGAGCCAUCCAUCCACCUCUCAAUAAUUCUUCCUCCUGACUCUGUACUGGGUACUGUUUUAACCUCCCAGAUGUCUCUUGUUCCCAUGGAACUCACAGUCUGUAGACAGGAGCCAGAGUAAACAAACACUCAAAAUCAAUCAAUAAAGAAGAAAACAUCAGCGUCAGCUACUGAUAAGUGUUACCAAGAAAAUACACCACGAUGAUGGGAUAGAGAAUGGAGAAGUGGGAGAGAGGACCGCGUGAGAACAGAAGUGAACCCCAUAUGCACAGAGAAGACACCGCCACUUCCUCUCUGCCAAUCCCACUGCGUGUCCUAGGAAUCUUGCUUUUCCUCCGGGCUCACCAGUGGAACCCAGUGUGAUUUGGAACCACACUUCACCAGGAAAACUAGGCCAAAAGGUUUGCUGCAACAGGCAUGGAUCUGCUUAAAAAUUACCGAAGAAAGAACAGGCUUGCUGGUCUAAUUGAAAACAACUGGGCGGGGACUUCUCUGCUGGUCCAGUGGUUAAGAAUCCCCUUUCUUAUCCGGGGGAUACGGGUUCGAUCCCUGGUCUAGGAACUAAGAUCCCACAUGUCUCGGGACAACUAGGCCUGUGUGCUGCAACCACUGGGCCCGUGCACCGCAACUAGAGAGAAGCCUGCAUGCUGCAAUGAAGACCCGACACAGCUAAAUAAAUGAAUAUUAAAACGAAAGAAAGAAAAUAACCAGGCAAGAUAAUUAGUCAAAACUCUCAGCCGAAACAAAUCAAGCUGUGGAAGAGCCCUUACAGCAGGGAGCCCGACCAGUCUCUGCCUCAUUGAUCCAGAGAAAUAAAUCCCUGAAGUGCUGAUGGCUCUGGGGGAGGCGGUGGGGAAGGGGAUUUGAGAAGUGGAGACAAGAUUCCACUCACAAGCCUUACGGUCAGAUUUUUCUGGGUUAGACUUCUUCCUCUGUCACUUGUUAGCAGUAUAACUCUGGGCAGGUGGCUUCUUUCCAGCCUCUCUUUCUCUACCUGAUAAAUGGGAAUAACAAUCAGGCUGUCUUCAGAGUGCGAGAAUUUAGGGAGAUAACAGCCCCAAGCCACGAGCUGAGUCUAGCUCAAAGUGAGUAUUUCACUGCUGUUUGCUAGUUUUCCUUCUUUCUGCCUUUUCUUACCCAAGUCUUUGUGAAAGACAACUUCUGAUUACCUUUAACUCCAAGGUCUGUCCCCUAACCCAGAGCACAAAACUGCUGUUGAGACUGCUGCCUGCCCCAGGACGGCACUCAAUGGCCCCAAGGGUGGGUCUGGAUGCCUGGAAGGAGUAACGCUCUCUUCCUGGCUGUCUGCUCCCAGUGGCUGCAGCCUCCAGGGGUGGAGGGGGUCAGCCUGGCCUGGAGUAUGCCCACCUGUCCCUCUCCCUGGGAGAUGGGGCAGGGGUGCAGCAGAGACCUGAACCACAGCUCCCGGCCCCACUGAGCCAACGCCCCUGUUUUGUCACCGAGUCUUCUUUUUUUUUUUUUUUGAUCUACAACUAGUUGUGAUUAAUGGUACCCUGUGGUUCCUCAUGCAGAAACAAGGUCAUGGUGAAGAUACGGUCGUUUUGAAACCCCAGUGAAGUUCAGGGGCCAGAGCAGAGUGGUAAUCACUCCGGUUUUGGCUCAUCUUCCUUCUCUGCGGCCUUCAACUUCAAGGCCAGGGGGCUGUCCCGGCCUCUCUGACUUCCUCUCAUGCAAAUCGCCCCAGUCGGGUGGGGGUGGAGGGCUGGCUCACCCAGAGGAGGGAAGUGAUGAACUCCGACCUCCCCAGACCUACUUUCUACCUCCAAGGCGAGCCUGGGAGACAGGUCCCCCCUGAACCCCGUCACCGCAGCCUCUGCAAGGACCUGCCUUGUUGUUUGAUGCUCAGUCAUGUCCGACUCUCUGUAACCCCAUGGACUGUAGCCACCAGGUUCCUCUGUCAGUGGGAUUCUCCAGACAAGAACACUGGAGUGGGUUGCCAUUUCCUCCUCCAGGGGAUCUUCCCAGUCCAGGGAUCAAACCUGGUCUCCUGCGUUGCAGGCGGCUUCUUUAUCGUCUGAGUCACCAGUGAAGACUUGAAUUAGCCACCCUUCUGAGUUCCCCCGACCCCGAUAAUUAUGAACUCCUGAGUGGACAGUCACAGACUCUGGGUAAUUAAAUUAUUAAAAUAAUAAGCCUGAAUCCUGGGUUGGUUCUCUUCUCGCCCAUUACAGAUCUGUUGACGUGGGGGAAUUCUGGUUGUCGACGUUGACAAUGUAUCUCUCUGUGGCUUAGGGAGGAACCACGUUGCAAAGUAUGAACUGGAACAGGGCACGGUGGGUAUGUAGGCUGUGACUUGGGGCAUCGAUCCAGCUUUCUUGCCUCCUUAGCCAACAGGACUAAAUGUGUCCUUUUGAAGACGUUAGAAAUGGGGGCAUAAAGGAGCUUGGUGGAGAGCCAGAAAAACCAAGGAGGCCUGGCAGGAUGAGGAGUGAGGGUCCCCUCCACCUCCCCGCUGCCUUCCCCAUAGGCUCCAAGAGCAAAACAGGGGUCCAGACGGGCUAUGGGACUCUGCUAUGGCCUCCGACUUCUGCAUCGAAGUCCGUGCAGAGAAUCAAGGAUGGCUUGUUUCCCCAGAGAAGCAGCCCAUGUGAGCCAGUGCUGGAGGGGAAAGCAGGGGGAUGUGGUGAAGGGUCGGGGGGGAAGGAAGCCUCUGCCUGAACCGGGCAGGCAGGCAGGGCCCCAGCCCGGGAGGCUCUGAGGGAGAGGGAGGCUUGAUGUGGCUCCCUGGGUUCCUCUGAACACACUCGGGGACAGGCACGGAGCGGCGCUGCCCGCGUUUGAAGGUAUUUCUCUGCAGCGAGCACCAGGCGGGGAGGAGAAAAACCCAAACCACUUCAAGUGGAUUUCAAUUUUUGAAAGACGCCACAUGAAACGUGCAGAAACCUAAGCCCCCUUUAGUCCGGGCCCAGGAGUAACAGACUCGGUGUGGGGGUGGGGCACAGCCUGGCUCUGGGCCACCCUCCCCCCAGGCCUCAUGCGUGCGGCUCCCCUGGGCAAAUGCAUCAGCAAUGGGGCCGCGGGAGAUUUCAUCUAUGUGGGCUGAUACGCUGCGCUGAGAACCUGACCACAGCAUCGCCCCACACGGGCCCCAAGUAGGGCAGCUUUCAUUCGAGACCCAGCGGCCGCACCCAUCUCUGAACUCCUUGGGGUUGGGGACCUAGGAAGGGGUAUGGCCACCAGGGAAGACCUCAAAGCCAUGGAGAGCCAGUGCUCUGGAUUAGAGCCACUCUUGCUUCAUUCAUUUGUCUGCAUCCUUCCAUCUUCCCUCAACCAGGUUCCUUUAACAUCAAGGAUAGGGUGCUGACUGUCUUGUCACCGCUGUCCUGUCUUCUUGGCUGGCCGCUCUCCACUCUGACCCAGUCCCUUCCUCUGUGUCGAGGAUGCUCCCCUGCAUCCCCAGGUCCUUUGGCCUUGGUUUUCUUUUACCAGCUCCUGACAGCUGGCUUUGAUUGCCUGACCUCUGCCAAAGCCAGAUCAGAGGCCCAAACUUGGAUUUUGUCCCUUUGUUAAUGCUUUUGAACUGUGGUGUUGGAGAAGACUCUUGAGAGUCCCUUGGACUGCAAGGAGAUCAUCUUAAAGGAAAUCAGUCCUGAUUAUUCAUUGGAAGGCCUGAUGCUGCAGCUGAAACUCCAAUACUUUGGCCACCUGAUGCAAAGAACUGAUUCAUUGGAAAAGACCCUGAUGCUGGGAAAGAUUGAAGGCGGGAGGAGAAGGGGACGACUGAGGAUGAGAUGUUUGGAUGGCCUCACUGACUCAAUGGACAUGAGUUUGAAUAAACCCUGGGAGUUGGUGAUAGACAGGGAGGCCUGGCGUGCGGCAGCCCACGGGGGUCGCAAAGAGUCAGACACGACUGAAUGACUGAACUGAACUCCUUUCUGCUACAUCAAGGCAGUCAGAAGGCUACACCAAGGCUCAAUGCCAAGGGUUAAGGUCGUGUUUGAGGGGAAUUCCAUUUUGAGUGAAAGUAUUCUGAAUAAUCUAACAUAGUAUAGAGGAAGGAAUGACUUAGGGGUACAUCCAGGUUUACAUUCAAGUUUAACUGAAAUUCAAGUUAAAUUCAGCCACGUUUAAAUUUCAGCUGAGGAGGUGAGCAGCUCUGUGACUCUGGAUAUGUUGCUUAAAUUCCCUGAGAUGCAAAAAGACGCCUACGACAGCAGGUAGCAAGUUCACAAAUUUCUGACACAGAGAAGGGGCAAAGUAAAGACCUUCCUCUCUAGAGAUAAAGAAGUAACAGUAAUAGUUAAUUGAGAAUUUGCAUGACUUGUCACCCUACAAAAAUUUUGUUCAUCAUUUACUGAAUUCUCACGACUCUAAAAUUUGAGCGAUAAAAUAGCGCUGGCUUCAUUAAGACAAGUAUACUGAGAUACAGGCAGGUGAAGCGACUCCCCCAAACUCAGAUUCAGUGAGAUGGGAUCCAAAUGCAGAGACUGAGUCCCGAGAGUUCGCCUUGGACAAUUCAAAUUUUAAACAUUCUGCCCCACUGUCCAUCAUGGCUUCUGUUUCUCCUUUUCUUCUGGGAAAAUGUGAUCAUGAAAUGGGCAGAAUUUAGAGCAUCACGAAUCUGCAUUUCCAUUUUUGGUGAGACGAAGAGGGGAACCAUGACCACGUGGCUCUUCUGUCCAAAAACUGAAACAAAGGUCACUGGAAACCUUGCCUUGAUUGAAAAAUAAAUAUGAAAUGGACCACAGACUCCAUCUUGGAAUCUGUGCGCCGGCGACUUCUGUCUGAACAGUGAACGUUAAGGGACUUUUUAUAUAGCAGGUCCUUGACCCUGUAGACUGAUCCAAAUACAUGUUUGAAGUGGGCCUCCUUGGGAUUCGGGGGCCCCGCCACAGAUUCGUCAUCCAAGGAAAGGGAGGCUAUGAAGGGAGCCCGUGUUUACCCAGUGUUCUGCGGCUACCAUUUUUCCGUCUGUCUGUCUCUUGAAGAUUUCCCCCGGGAGAAGUCCAUAUUGCACAAGCUGGAGGGAGCUUGGGAAAGCAUCAGAAAGCACAACUGUGUGUGUGUCAUAAAAAGGAGCUUUUAUAAAUCUGGGUGGAAAUCAAACCCAUCUGGGUCGGGUGAGAUGCCACUGACGUGGAGGAACUCCCAUGGGCACCCGUCAGAGCUCACCCUCCUGGGAUCUUCGUCUGCCCCCGAUCCUGUCCUCUAGACGGGUGUCCCCAGCCUCUGGGAUCUAAUGCCUGAUGAUCUGAGGUGGAGCUGAUGCAAUAAGGGUAGACAUAAAGUGCACAAUAAAUGUGUGCUUGGAUCAUGCCGAAACCAUCCCCCCCUCCCCACCGUCCGUGGAAAAGUUGUCUUCCACGAAAUCGGUCCCUGGUGCCAACACGGUGGGGGACUGCUGCUCUAGAAGGCGGGGCUGAGUGGGAUGGUGGUGGUGAGGGGAGGAGAAGGGUGACGCCUCUAUGUUAAUUUCCUAGGGCCGCCGUAACAAAGGACCAUGGACUCGGCGGCUCAAAACACAAGAACUGACGCUCGCACAGUUCUGGAGGCCACUAGUCAGAAAGCGGGGUGUUGGCAGGGUCGUGUGCCCCUCAGAAGCUCUAGGGGGUCACCUGUCCUACGUCUUCUAGCUUCUGAGGUUACUGGCAAUCCUCGGCUUUCCUUGGCUUGUAGGUGCAUCACUUCGAUUUCUGCUCCUGUGUUCGCCUGUCAUCUCCCCUCUGUGUGUCUGUAUGUCUAGAUCUCGCUCCAUAUAAGGUCAUCACACUGAGGGUCCAUCCUGAUGCAGUGUGAGCUCAUUCUGACUUAACGAACCACAUCUUCAAAGACGAUUUGUUCUAAACAGGGUCAUACCCACCGGCACCAAAGGGUAGGAUGUUGACCUAUCAUUUGUGGAACAUGGUUCUAUCGCCAACGGCUUCUGAUACUAGCUGUUUAUUCCUUUAUGUUAGGCACUUUACCCAGCACUGCACAAUUAUUAGACAGGCAUGGCUCAGUGGGUAAAGAAUCCGCCUGCAAUGCAGGAGACACAGGAGAUGCGGGUUCAAUCCCUGGGUCAGGAAGAUCCCCUGGAGGAGGAAAUGGCAACCCACUUCAGUAUUCUUGCCUGAAAAAUCCCAAGGACAGAAGAACCUGGCCUGCUACCGUCCAUGGGGUCGAAAGAGUCAGACAAGACUAAGCAACUGACACUUUGAAACCGCUGCUUUUGUAGAUUAUUAGUGGUUGAAUGUCAACCAGUUUCAUACGGUUAAAUCUAAUAUUAUCUUAUUUACCCCUCUGCCAUUAGUAUCUACUCUACUAGUACCUACUCUUACUGAGCACUUAUUGUUGUAUCGAUACUAAUAGGUAACAGGCACCUCUAUCUGUCAGGGAGAUGAAAUAGUGGGCGGCUUUAGGAAUUGAAGAGAUAACGCUCAACCUACAGCUUGCUCGCUGUGUGACUAGCAGGGAGUGACCUAAUCCCCCUGAGCCUCAGUUUAUCCAUCUGUAAAAGCAGAGACAAGUACUCUGUAACAAGAACUGAUGGUCAGUUCUUCCCUGGUGGUCAGUGGCUAAGACUCCACACUCCCAAAGCCGGGGGGCCAGGUCUGAUCCCUGGUUGGGGAACUAGAUGCCACAUGCCAUAACUAAGACCCGACACAGCUAGAUACCUAAAUAUUAAGAAAAAAAAAAAAAGACCUUACGGGUAUUAAUACAAGUCCUGAAAUCAAUAGUUGGGAAGCUAGAAGAAGACAUUCUUGUAGAACAUCUGGUCUCUAGUAGAUGCUCAGAACACCACACUUGAGAAUCACGUGGAGGAAAGCUGAGGGGUAUGGGGUAGGGGCAUUUAAGAAUGCAGGGCUUCCCCGAUGGCUCAGCAGUAAAGAAUCCGCCUACAAUGCAGAAGACGCAGGAGACCCAGGUUCGAUCCCUGGGUCAAGACUAUCCCUUGGAGGAGGGCAUGGCAACCCACUCCAGUAUUCUUGCCUGGAGAAUCCCCAUGGACAGAGGCACCUGGUGGGCUACAGUCCAUGGGGUCACAGAGUCGGACAGGACUGAAGCAACUUAGCACACACGCAGACCCCACCCAAAACUACUGAAUUCGAGCCUAUCUGGGCUGGUGCCUGGAAAUUCGCAUUUUAACUGCCCUCCCCACCCUGAGUUUCCUCCAUUUGCAAGCGUUAGAAAACCGCUGCACUAAGUGAAUAAAAGUUUUUCUUUCCUUCUUCCAACAGAACCUAGCAGUCGAAUCAGGACUGGGCUGGGAUGUCCAGACUCCCAUCCACCCCCGGUUCAGAGACAGCAGUGGGAACUGGGGACCAGGUGACAGCUCCCACUGCCAGAGGCAGGCAGGGGUUAGUGGGGACCUUUAGUUCUGGAUCAAUUGUCUGCUGUUGCAUGUUCAUGCCUCUUCCAUUACCUGAAUGAAAAUAAAUGCCAUGCUUAAAAACUGCACGUCUCAAAAUCAAAGUCAUGCUCCUUCCUUCUGGAAGUUAUAUCCUUGUGCCUGGUUGGUACAGAGAAGGGGAAAAAAAAACACCAAAUCUCUUUCCAGGAUUUCUUUUUGUCCCUCCCACAAAUCCUCCAGCUUGCUUAACAAUGCAAGCCAUCCUCUCACCCAAGCUCUGGGUUUCUUUCUUGUGUUCAGAACGAAGAGGACCCUUGACUCUAAAAUGAAGCCCUAAGGGAGAAGAUGCCUGCUUGAAGCACCCCUUUCCUGUGUCUGAAAGCACAGGAGUUGUUUAUGGGCUUGUGGAACGGCAGUUUCAGGGUUUUCUGGGUGAGAGGGAUGCGUGGUUUCAGGAGGGCAGCCUCGCUCGGGGCAUGUGUGGUCUGUGAGCUCAGGGAGCCGGUGGAGUCCUCUGCUGACCUGGAGUGGGCCCCUGCCCUGCUCCGUAUCUCUGGGCGAAGGCCCAGCCUGCUGGAAGCGUCUAUUAAAACGUAAUUGAUGAGGUGCCCUGCGCCUGGGGAAGGGAUGUCGGGGAAGGGACAGCAAAAGGCCUGUUUGCGUGAGCAGGGCAGGAAGAACCCAGAAUUUUGGGUCCUGGACCACCUCCCAAAUAGAUGUAUGCUUCCCAUUUUCCCAGGAAUGGGUUGAGCGUUCUGAACAUAUUUGAUCAUUCCGUUGUCGCCUCCUACUCCCAGAGAGGUCGCCCUAUGUCAUGGACAUGGACAAGUGGCUUAGCCAGGUCAGAUGACUCCUCCCCAUCUGUGCUUGUAGAAAUGGGCAGAAUACUGAUGGGGUUGGGGAGGGGGGCCCAAGGAUGCCUGUGGAUGCCAGUCACCCCUCCAUUUAUUUCUGGCUGCGUCACCCUGGCCUCUCUGUGCUUCACUGCCCUCUUACGGGAAGCGGGAACCACGGCAACUCCAACCUGGGGCGAGGAGGAAGUGGGGCUGACAUUUAAAGGGGUUCCCCUCUGUGAAGGAGCUUCCCAGGUGGUGGUAAAAAACCACCCCCCUGCCAAUGCAAGAGAUGCAAGAGAUGCGGGUUCGAUCCCUGGGUCGGGAAGAUCCCCUGGAGGAGGAGAGGGCUGCCCAUUCCAGUAUUCUUGCCUGGAAACUCUCAUGGACACAAGCCUGGUGGGCUACAUAC
ensembl:lncRNA